UGACUGUUAUUCAAGUAACUGUCAUUUUUAACUGUUUUCUGUUCUUUCUGUGUUUAUGAAGGAGAAUGGCUGAUGAAAGAGUUUUCCCUGGAUGCUGCAGAGGACGGCUAUAUUUAUAGGAUGACUGUAAGCCAUAGAAAGAGAGAUUUACUGUCAUCGUCAAUGACAGUACCUGGCAAGCCCUAUUGAUGUUACAUAUCUAAGCAAAGACCAAACUAAUUGUGGAAAAACACACAUCUUUAUCUAGGUCAUUAAUACAUCAAGCGAAACUCCAUAAAUAUGGUCUCAUUCGGUGGCUUGGGAUCUCUGUUAGUACUCUUAUGAUCUCCGAAGGCCUCUUUGGAUUUGACACACCAAGGCAGUAUUUAUGCCUCUUUGGCAUAUCCUUAAUAUUUCAAUGGUGACAUUGUCCUUAUAGUCCUUCGAGUUCCCUCCCCGCCAUAAAAGGGAAGCAGGUCCCAAAGCUAAACGAAAUGUAUGAGGACUACAGACAUGAAGCAGACACACAUCAGGUGCAGCAGGGCGCCUGCUUUGCGUCAGCUUUCUACCUACUGCCUUUCAAACAGGCAGCAAGACAAUCCUUCAUUUUACCUGUUUGGAUGCUGAACAGGCCUCCUUUCAUACAGCAGACAUUAACCAGUGAAGGUGUACAGGUGUUCUCCAGAAACGUUUGGACCAGGGACGUUUGGAAACUUGCUCGUUAUUUGGCAAUCAGAGCACAAACAUGCAAUUUAUCCCCCUGCCUACCUAUAUUCCACUCCUCAGUCAGGUGCAGGCUACUUUGACAUUUACGGGACGGGUCAUGGUUCUGCCAAAAUCCCAUUCCAGUGGUAGAGACUGAGAUGGAGCUACAGGCUGCGACUGUGAAGAGAAAAGAGAAAAGAUGUGGCGGCCAUUUUUGUGUUACCUCACACAACUUGCAGCAGCCAUUUGGUGACUA